rnacentral:rRNA from 1 species
CCCUAUUAUUUUAGAAUGUUAAUUUUUUGUGCCUGAGUAGUAUUAGUUAUGUUCUUGAAACUUAAAGAAUUUGGCGGUAUCUCAUUCCGUCCAGAGGAAUCUGUCCCGUUAUCGAUAGUCCACGUUGGACCUUACUUAUUUGAUUUUGGUUUGUAUACCGCCGUUUAUUGAUUAUCUUUUUAGGGGUUAUUUAAUUUUCUGGUUUCUUUAUUUUGAUAUAUUUCAGGUCAAGGUGCAGCUUGUUUAUAAGUGGAAUGAUGGAUUACAUUGUUAUUUGUUUAUGGAUUGUUGAUUUUAAUAUCGGCAUGAAAUUGGAUUUGGUUGUAAUGAUUUGUAGAUUGUUAUUAUGAUAAUUGGUUCUGAGAUAUGCACACAUCGCCCGUCGCUCUCGUUUGUUUAUUAUAAUGAGAUAAGUC